UACGUAGGGUGCGAGCGUUGUCCGGAAUUAUUGGGCGUAAAGAGCUUGUAGGCGGUUUGUCGCGUCUGCUGUGAAAAUCCGGGGCUCAACCCCGGACUUGCAGUGGGUACGGGCAGACUAGAGUGUGGUAGGGGAGACUGGAAUUCCUGGUGUAGCGGUGGAAUGCGCAGAUAUCAGGAGGAACACCGACGGCGAAGGCAGGUCUCUGGGCCACUACUGACGCUGAGAAGCGAAAGCAUGGGGAGCGAACAGG
rnacentral:rRNA from 1 species